rnacentral:rRNA from 1 species
UCCUUUGGGUUAAUACCUCGGAGGGAUGACGGUACCUGAAGAAUAAGCACCGGCUAACUACGUGCCAGCAGCCGCGGUAAUACGUAGGUGCAAGCGUUAAUCGGAAUUACUGGGCGUAAAGCGUGCGCAGGCGGUGAUGUAAGACAGAGGUGAAAUCCCCGGGCUCAACCUGGGAACUGCCUUUGUGACUGCAUCGCUGGAGUACGGCAGAGGGGGUGGAAUUCCUGGUGUAGCAGUGAAAAUGCGUAGAGAUCAGGAGGAACACCGAUGGCGAAGGCAGCCCCCUGGGCCUGUACUGACGCUCAUGCACGAAAAGCGUGGGGAGCAAACAGGAUUAGAUACCCUGGUAGUCCACGCCCUAAACGAUGUCGACUAGUCGUUCGGAGCAGCAAUGCACUGAGUGACGCAGCUAACGCGUGAAGUCGACCGCCUGGGGAGUACGGCCGCAAGGUUAAAACUCAAAGGAAUUGACGGGGGC